AAAAUAAAAUAUGACGUUUGGCAUAUUAUAUUUAUUAACACCCUUCACUGGAUAGCUCAUUGAUAUUGGAACUUUCGAAGUACGAAGUCAUGGAAUAAACGAAUAAAUACCCCCUAGAAACGCACAAAGGCAAAUAAAUAUACAACGUAGAGACUUUUAAUAAAAGGAAUAUUAAAGACUUCAAAAAAUGGAAUAGAAAUCGUUGUAAGGCUAGAAGAAAUGUAUUAGAAAAAAGAACAUGUUGGUGAUGUGCAUGUCAUGAAAUUACCUAAGGAAAAAACAGAGACGUACAGCGAUUGCUAACGCUAGAAGUUGGCGGAGAAAUAUGGGAAGAAAAAAGAAACGUCUAAAAGGGGAUGUCAGGGAAUCCCCAGGAAAAGACUGGAACUGUCCUUAACCACUGGGGGAGUUUUCCAUCUUCACAAUAUGGCAGGAAUUUAUUUCCUGUCAACAACCACCAGCAAAAUGGCGACGCCGGUCUUGAAGGCUUACUCCCGGGCUCUAUUGCCCGGGGUAACGCCAUUUUCACAUCUUGUCCGAGACGGACGUUACACAUUGGCACCAAAAAUAAGAAAUUCCCAGGCAGUGCAGUUACUUCGCUUUUUGGAGGGCUUGGGUAUCACCAUGGAAACGGUUAGAUAUCGGGAACAGAAUGAAAGAGAUGAUGAAUUUUCCACAACUUACUGUAAAAAUCUUUUCCUAAAGGACAGAAAAGGGGUGUUCUAUCUCGUUGUUUAUAAAGAAGACUCCGAUUUAGAUUUGAAACUUCUGAAGAAACAAGUUAACGCCUACCGCAAUUUCUCUUUUGCCAGCCACAGAGAACUUAAAAACAUUUUGAAAGUUAACUUUGUAACCCCUUUUUCUUUGCUUUUUAAUUCAACCGAAAAUGUUAAGGUAGUUUUUGCGAAAAAUCUCAAGGGAGAAACGUCCUUGAACUUUCAUCCUCUUGAUGGUCGAUUCACAACACGAAUUUCCUAUGGUGAUCUCGAAACCUUCAUGAAAGCCGUUGGGAGAGAAUUUAUUCUAAUAAAUAUUUAGAACACAUUUA